AUGAAGAAGGGAAGGAAGGGAAACAGGGUCAACAAUACUGAAAAGAACAAGGAGGUGAUGGGUUAGACCUGGGUGGGAGCAGGAUCUCUGGCCCCAGGUGCACCUGGGUUCGGAUCCCGGCCAGGAGUCGUUGGACCUCGCAGCCGCGGUUUUCUCACCGGUCAAAACAUAUUAAGCAAGACUUCCUGCUGAUCUCACUUCGUCAACCCUAGCCCUCUGCUCUAGAGCUUGCUUUUUUUCCAUGCAGUGAUGUGUCUUCAAGAUCUUUCCAUAUCAGUCCCCAAAGAUCUAUUUUGUUCCGUAAAAUGAAG